rnacentral:rRNA from 1 species
UGGCCUAUUUCUCAGAAUCCCAGACCACAAGCUCCAGGUUAUGUGAGCAUGCCCGGUAGACCUAGGAAAAAUGAUAGGAGGAGGGAAGAGGGAGAAGCACCAAAAGGAAAGAAGAUGUCAAUACAUGGGAUUAAAAUUACUUGUAGUAUGUGUGGGAAUAAAGUUCACAAUAAGUCAGGUUGCCACAAAAAUCCAGAAAAAGGCAAGAAAAAGAAUGCCUUUAUGAGAAAAAUAGGGAGGAAAAUGAAGACCUCUGAGGUAUAUAAUUUUGCAUUUCUACUAUUUCAUAUACUACUGCAUUUCUUCAGUUUCAUAUACUUUAUUUUUCAACAGCAAGCACAGACUGAUGCUAACAUAAGAGCGAGCCAGCAGAAAGUUAGCAAAGGAAAAGAACCAGUCGAAGUAGGACCAAGUAGAGAGAAGAGGAAGGCUCCUAGAAAGCAGAAUUUGCAGGGCAAGAAAAAAGCAAAGAAGUGA